rnacentral:rRNA from 1 species
AGUGAACGCUGGCGGUAGGCCUAACACAUGCAAGUCGAACGGCAGCACAGUAAGAGCUUGCUCUUACGGGUGGCGAGUGGCGGACGGGUGAGGAAUACAUCGGAAUCUACUUUUUCGUGGGGGAUAACGUAGGGAAACUUACGCUAAUACCGCAUACGACCUACGGGUGAAAGCAGGGGAUCUUCGGACCUUGCGCGAUUGAAUGAGCCGAUGUCGGAUUAGCUAGUUGGCGGGGUAAAGGCCCACCAAGGCGACGAUCCGUAGCUGGUCUGAGAGGAUGAUCAGCCACACUGGAACUGAGACACGGUCCAGACUCCUACGGGAGGCAGCAGUGGGGAAUAUUGGACAAUGGGCGCAAGCCUGAUCCAGCCAUACCGCGUGGGUGAAGAAGGCCUUCGGGUUGUAAAGCCCUUUUGUUGGGAAAGAAAAGCAGCAGGUUAAUACCCCGCUGCUCUGACGGUACCCAAAGAAUAAGCACCGGCUAACU